rnacentral:rRNA from 1 species
UACGUAGGGUGCAAGCGUUGUCCGGAAUUAUUGGGCGUAAAGAGCUCGUAGGCGGUUUGUCGCGUCUGCCGUGAAAGUCCGGGGCUCAACUCCGGAUCUGCGGUGGGUACGGGCAGACUAGAGUGCGGUAGGGGAGAUCGGAAUUCCUGGUGUAGCGGUGAAAUGCGCAGAUAUCAGGAGGAACACCGGUGGCGAAGGCGGGUCUCUGGGCCGAUACUGACGCUGAGGAGCGAAAGCGUGGGGAGCGAACAGG